rnacentral:lncRNA from 1 species
AACAGGUUCUUGACAUGCAUUCAAACUUAUCUUGUUGGAAGGGACAUGGAUUGGGGUUUGUGGGCAUUUCAUGGUGGCUAUUACUUGAGGGAGGACAAAGUUCAACUUGAUGAGUCAUUUGGUGUAAUGGAUGCCACUUGGCACAACCUGAGGUACUCAAAUUUCACUGACAAAUUCCAACUUUUGCAAAGGAAGAAUCAAGGUAAGUAGUCUGUUGAGUUAUUUAAUCAAACUUUUUGCAAGCAUGUGCAGAAAAUCAAAUGAUUUCAAUAUCCAUUUGCUUUAAACUAGUGUUUUUUUUUAUGCAGAUCCUACUUCAAAAGUCAGGGUCUACAGUGGAAGACAACAGGUUCUUGACAUGCAUUCAAACUUAUCUUGUUGGAAGGGACAUGGAUUGGGGUUUGUGGGCAUUUCAUGGUGGCUAUUACUUGAGGGAGGACAAAGUUCAACUUGAUGAGUCAUUUGGUGUAAUGGAUGCCACUUGGCACAACCUGAGGUACUCAAAUUUCACUGACAAAUUCCAACUUUUGCAAAGGAAGAAUCAAG